GAGGGCAUGCGAGCAAAAAUGCUGUUGAGAUCAUUACAGGCUUAGGAUGUUAAGAAGAGAGACUCUAUUUUUUAUUAGUCUUCUAAAUAAGCAUUCUAAUCCUGUUUCAAUAUCUUCGAUGCUGUUUUGUAAUGUCCGCAGCUGAUUUUGUGCCCUCUGCAUCUUCCCUUCAUUAUCUUCAAUUUCCUCUUGGUCGCCCUCACAGGCCACUUUCCUCUUUUGCAAUGCCUUUGAGAUAAGAGACCAUCUGCUAGCUUUGCCUUGCGGCGUCGGCAUGGACAAGAAUUUGAAGAUGGACAGGAGAAGGGAAAUGGUGAUUGCUCUUGCUUCCCUCAGAAUCUCGGUCACCAUCCAUGAGUCCUUGCCGUUGCUACAACAUGAGACAUCCUUGUCAUACAUCUGCUUCAGUAAUUUGAAGAUACUCUUGAUACUCUUCUCUGCCUUCUUGUCAAAACGAAUCAAGUCCAGCAGCCUGACAGAUCCGUCCAACGCCACUUCCACACUUUCUUUUUCUUGUAUGUUGGAAUAUUUGCUCAAAGGCAAAUGGAGAAGCUCCUCGAUGCACUCGUACAAACCUCCGAGCGCUCUCAAUCCCUCGCAUAUAGUUUGGGCUGAUAAACAGGAUUGAGCCACCAAAGACUUGAGCUUCUGCAUCUCUUCCUCUACUCUGAGCUUGAGAGGGUGAUCUCUAGAUGGCAUGCUGAUGGAUCUGACAUGGUAAGGCUGAUUAGGUGUUGCAGGACAACCAGCCAUAUCCACCAGCAUGUUGUUGGAAGGCCUUUGGAAUGGAUUGCCAAAUUAAGAGUAGAGCAAAAACGAUGGGAAGAUGUGAACAAGCCUGGAACUUCCCCUACUUAUAGUCCCUAUUUCAUAAAGCAGAUGGGAGGCCAGUGAAAUCUAACCAGCCGAGCUCAAUAUGAUAUGCCAAUCUUGCAAUUUUGAUCUUGUAGCCCCAUCUCUGAUCAGGAUACAUACUUGAAAGAAGCAUGAUAUGUCCCUUUUCCAUCCCUCUACUUCCUGUCGCGUGCCACAUAACCUCUUUUUCCGUGCAUUGAAGAGAAACGACCACCUGCAAGUCUUCAUUCUCCCUGUCUGCAUUGUCAAGAAAGAUGACAGCAGAUGAAGCAGAGGUAGUUGUGAUUGGAUUGAGAUCCCCAGAGAUUCUACCCACCAUAGCUGUCUUUCGAAUUACCACAUAAAUCCGGCAUCGACUCAUCUUCCAGCCAUUUCCACUGCAUGUAAAAGUGAAGGCUUGGUUGCAUGGCGACUGAACAAGCCCCUCAUUGAUUCGUGUGCAACUGCAAACUCUCUGAACCACUUGAAUAUAUUGAAAGGCAUAUCAGCAUAACAACUGAAGAAGCGGAAAGGAAAUGAGCGUGGGGUUUCAUUCUUUUGCUCGUCUGCUUUGAAGACAUCAACAUCCACAUCUUUAGGUUGGUCUGAUGGGAAACUACAAGAAUAGCGGUAUUUCUUUUCUUUACUCUCCCACUCUUUCGUGAGUUGCAAGGUGCUGCUAUACCAUGUGAUGUCAAGCUGGUUCUUGGCUUGCAAUGUAUUUCUUUUACUAACAUAUUCCAAAUAGGUCAGCGGUCAUUUCUGUUUCUGUAAUUCUUGAAUAAAUGGAUGCCUGGCACUUUGUUCAUCGCCCAACAUGUCAUGUCCCAUCAAUUAGCAGCAAGAUGCAAGACCAGAGACUAACAACUAUUACAUGGUUCAACGUAGUCAGAAACACAAAGAAUCUGAUCAAGACAUAUGUUACGGCAUUAGAAUAUAUUAACUCCUCAACUAAAGUAUUUGUUUAUGAUGCACAGGUGCAGUAUGGCUGCUUGUCUGCCCAACAAUCUACCACUCUCUAUGGUGGUUUGCUGGAUGUGCACAUAUAUGUUUUAGGUGAAGUAGGAGUGUGCACAUGUUUAUAACGGCCCUUGAGUACAUAUGGUCAGCAACGCACAUCUUGGAGUGAUCUCAAUGGCAAGAUGUUCUGCAGAACAGAAAGAUUCCAAAGUAUUAUAUAGUUGGGUUUCCUUCAAGAAACACAAAGAAGUUGUGUAUAUGGUCAAGCUGUGGCCAACCUGAUAUCAAUUUGGUAGCUGCACAACUAAUUCGACUCCUCCGUCAUCUAAUUCACAUGGAUACGUACCUGAAAGAAGCAUGAUAUGUCCCUUUUCCAUCCCUCUACUUCCUGUCGCGUGCCACAUAACCUCUUUUUCCGUGCAUUGAAGAGAAACGACCACCUGCAAGUCUUCAUUCUACCUGUCUGCAUUGUCAAGAAAGAUGACACCAAAUGAAGCAGAGGCAGUUGUGAUUGGAAUCAGAUCCCCAGAGAUUCUACCCACCAUAGGCUGUCUUUCGAAUUACCACAUAAAUCCGGCAUCGACUCAUCUUCCAGCCAUUUCCACUGCAUGUAAAAGUGAAGGCUUGGUUGCAUGGCGACUGAACAAGCCCCUCGUUGAUUCGUGUGCAGCUGCAAUCUCUCUCAACCACUUGAAUAUAUUGAAAGGAAUAUCAGCAUAACAACUGAAGAAGCGGAAAGGAAAUGAGCGUGGGGUUUCAUUCUUUUGCUCGUCUGCUUUUAAGACAUCAACAUCCACAUCUUUAGGUUGGUCAGAUGGGAAACGACAAGAAUAGCGGUAUUUCUUUUCUUUAGUCUCCCACUCUUUCGUGAGUUGCUAGGUGCUGCUAUCCCAUGUGAUGUCAAGGUGGUUCUUGGCUUGCAAUGUAUUUCUUUUACUGACAUCUUCCAAAUAGGUCAGCGGUCAUUUCUGUUUCUGUAAUUCUUGAAGAAAUGGAUGCCUGGCACUUUGUUCAUCGCCCAACAUGUCAUGUCCCAUCAAUUACCAGCAAGAUGCAAGACCUGAGACUAACAACUUUUAUAUGGUUCAAUGCAGUCAGAACCACACAAUGAAUCUGAUCAAGACAUAUGUUACGGCAUUAGAAUAUAUUAACUCCUCAACUAAAGUAUUUGUUUAUGAUGCACAGGUGCUGUAUAGCAGCUUGUCUGCCCAACAAUCUACCACUCUCUAUGGUGGUUUGCUGGAUCUGCACAUAUAUGUUUUAGGUGAAGUAGGAGUGUGCAGAUGUUGAUUAUGGCCCUUGAGUACAUAUAGUCAGCAACACACAUCUUGGAGUGAUCUCAAUGGCAAGAUGUUCUGCAGAACAGGAAGAUUCCAAAGUAUUAUAUAGUUGGGGUUCCUUCAAGGAACACAAAGAAGUUGUGUAUAUGGUCAAGCUGUGGCCAACCUGGCCACUUUCCUCUUUUGCAAUGCCUUUGAGAUCAGAGACCAUCUGCUAGCUUUGCCUUGCGGCCUCGGCAUGGACAAGAAUUUGAAGAUGGACUGGAGAAGGGAAAUGGUGAUUGCUCUUGCUUCCCUCAGAAUCUCGGUCACCAUCCAUGAGUCCUUGCCGUUGGUACAACAUGAGACAUACUUGUCAUCCAUCUGCUUCAGUAAUUUGAAGAUACUCUUGAUACCCUUCUCUGCCUUCUUGUCAAAACGAAUGUGAGUAUACAUCUUGCUCUCUGCAACUGUUACUCCUUGUCUUCUGAGGGCUAUUACAAGCGUUCUGAUUUGGUCCUUUGUUGUCAUCAUGCUGUCUCUCAUGAUGCCCAGCAAGUCCAGUAGCCUGACAGAUCCGUCCAACUCCACUUCCACACUUUCUUUUUCUUGUAUGUUGGAAUAUUUGCUCAUAGGCAAGUGGAGAAGCUCCUCGAUGCACUCGUACAAACCUCCGAGCGCUCUCAAUCCCUCGCAUAUAGUUUGGGCUGAUAAACAGGAUUGAGCCACCAAAGACUUGAGCUUCUGCAUCUCGUCCUCUACUCCGAGCUUGAGAGGGUGAUCUCUAGAUGGCAUGCUGAUGGAUCUGACAUGGUAAGGCUGAUUAGGUGUUGCAGGAUAACCAGCCAUAUCCACCCGUAUGUUGUUGGAAGGCCUUUGGAAUGGAUUGCCAAAUGAAGAGUAGAGCAAAAACGAUGGGAAGAUGUGAACAAGCCUGGAACUUCCCCUACUUAUAGUCCCUAUUUCAUAAAGCAGAUGGGAGGCAAGUGGAAUCUAACCAGCUGAGCUCAAUAUGAUCUGCCAAUCUUGCAAUUUGGAUCUUGUAGCCUCAUCUCUGAUCAGGUAGUUAAGCAGAUGAACAAUGCUCUGAAUGAUCUGCGUGAACACUCGCAAACUUCAGUUCUAUGCUCUAGCAAUUGCAUUCUAUUAUGGAACUCACUACCCUGUAAUAUUAAUCAUGACACUCUUUGCCGGAUACGUACUUUAAAGAAGCAUGAUAUGUCCCAUUUCCAUCCCUCUUCUUCCUGUCGCGUGCCACGUAAAAUCUUUUUCAGUGCACUGGAGAGAAACGACCACCAGCAAGUCUUCAAUCUCCCUGUCUGCAUUGUCAAGAAAGAUGACACCAGAUGAGCAGAUGCAGUUGUGAUUGGAUUCAUUUCCCCGGAGAAUCUACCCACCAUAGGCUGUCUUUCGAAUUACCGCAUAAAUCCAGCAUCAACUCAUCUUCCAGCCAUUUCCGCUGCAUAUAAAAUUGAAGGCUUGGUUGCAUGGUGACUGAACAAGCCCCUCAUUGAUUCUUGUGCAGCUGCAAUCUCUCUCAACCACUUGAAUAUAUUGAAAGGCAUAUCAGCAUAAUAACUGAUGAAGAGGAAAGGAAAUGUGUGUGGGGUUUCAUUCUUUUACUCCCCUGCAUAUAAGCCAACAACAUCCGCAUCUUUAGGUUGGUCAGAUGGGAAACGACAAGAAUAGCGGUGCAGUAUGGCUGCUUGUCUGCCCAACAAUCUACCACUCUCUAUGGUGGUUUGCUGGAUCUGCACAUAUAUGUUUUAGGUGAAGUAGGAGUGUGCACAUGUUGAUAAUGGCCCUUGAGUACAUAUGGUCAGCAACGCACAUCUUGCAGUGAUCUAAAUGGCAAGAUGUUCUGCAGAACAGAAAGAUUCCAAAGUAUUAUAUAGUUGGGUUUCCUUCAAGAAACACAAAGAAGUUGUGUAUAUGGUCAAGCUGUGGCCAACCUGGCCACUUUCCUCUUUUGCAAUGCCUUUGAGAUAAGAGACCAUCUGCUAGCUUUGCCUUGCGGCGUCGGCAUGGACAAGAAUUUGAAGAUGGACUGGAGAAGGGAAAUGGUGAUUGCUCUUGCUUCCCUCAGAAUCUCGGUCACCAUCCAUGAGUCCUUGCCGUUGGUACAACAUGAGACAUACUUGUCAUCCAUCUGCUUCAGUAAUUUGAAGAUACUCUUGAUACCCUUCUCUGCCUUCUUGUCAAAACGAAUUCUCUCAUGAUGCCAAGCAAGUCCAGCAGCCUGACAGAUCCGUCCAACUCCACUUCCACACUUUCUUUUUCUUGUAUGUUGGAAUAUUUGCUCAUAGGCAAGUGGAGAAGCUCCUCGAUGCACUCGUACAAACCUCCGAGCGCUCUCAAUCCCUCGCAUAUAGUUUGGGCUGAUAAACAGGAUUGAGCCACCAAAGACUUGAGCUUCUGCAUCUCUUCCUCUACUCUGAGCUUGAGAGGGUGAUCUCUAGAUGGCAUGCUGAUGGAUCUGACAUGGUAAGGCUGAUUAGGUGUUGCAGGACAACCAGCCAUAUCCACCAGUAUGUUGUUGGAAGGCCUUUGGAAUGGAAUGCCAAAUGAAGAGUAGAUAAAAAACGAUGGGAAGAUGUGAACAAGCCUGGAACUUCCCCUACUUAUAGUCCCUAUUUCAUAAAGCAGAUGGGAGGCAAGUGGAAUCUAACCAGCCGAGCUCAAUAUGAUAUGCCAAUCUUGCAAUUUGGAUCUUGUAGCCUCAUCUCUGAUCAGGAUACGUACUUUAAAGAAGCAUGAUAUGUCCCAUUUCCAUCCCUCUACUUCCUGUCGCGUGGCACGUAACAUCUUUUUCAGUGCAUUGAAGAGAAACGACCACUUGCAAGUCUUCAAUCUCCCUGUCUGCAUUGUCAAGAAAGAUGACACCAGAUGAAGCAGAUGCAGUUGUGAUUGGAUUCAGUUCCCCAGAGAAUCUACCCACCAUAGCUGCAAUCUCUCUCAAAGGCAUAUCAGCAUAAUAACUGAAGAAGAGGAAAGGAAAUGUGUGUGGGGUUUCAUUCUUUUGCUCCCCUGCAUAUAAGCCAACAACAUCCCCAUCUUUAGGUUGGUAAGAUGGGAAAUGACAAGAAUAGCUGUAUUUCUUUUCUUUACUCUCCCACUCUUUCGUGAGUUGCUAGGUGCUGCUAUCCCACGUGAUGUCAAGGUGGUUCUUGGCUUGCAAUGUAAUUCUUUUACUGACAUCUUCCAAAUAGGUUAGUGAUCAUUUCUGUUUCCGUAAUUCUUGAAGAAAUGGAUUCCUGGCACUUUGUUUAUCACCCAACAUGUCAUGUCCGAUCAAUUACAAGCAAGGUGCAAGAGCAGAGACUAACAAGUAUUACAUGGUUCAACGCUGUCAGAAACACACAAAGAAUCUGAUCAAGACAUAUGUUACGGCAUUAGAAUAUAUUAACUCCUCAACUAAAGUAUUUGUUUAUGAUGCACAGGUGCAGUAUGGCUGCUUGUCUGCCCAACAAUCUACCACUCUCUAUGGUGGUUUGCUGGAUCUGCACAUAUAUGUUUUAGGUGAAGUAAGAGUGUGCACAUGUUGAUAAUGGCCCUUGAGUACAUAUGGUCAGCAACGCACAUCCAGGAGUGAUCUCAAUGGCAAGAUGUUCUGCAGAACAGAAAGAUUCCAAAGUAUUAUAUAGUUGGGGUUCCAUCAAGAAACACAAAGAAGUUGUGUAUAUGGUCAUGCUGUGGCCAACCUGGCCACUUUCCUCUUUUGCAAUGCCUUUGAGAUAAGAGACCAUCUGCUAGCUUUGCCUUGCGGCCUCGGCAAGGACAAGAAUUUGAAGAUGGACUGGAGAAGGGAAAUGGUGAUUGUUCUUGCUUCCCUCAGAAUCUCGGUCACCAUCCAUGAGUCCUUGCCGUUGGUACAACAUGAGACAUACUUGUCAUCCAUCUGCUUCAGUAAUUUGAAGAUACUCUUGAUACCCUUCUCUGCCUUCUUGUCAAAACGAAUGUGAGUAUACAUCUUGCUCUCUGCAACUGUUACUCCUUGUCUUCUGAGGGCUAUUUCAAGCGUUCUGAUCUGGUCCUUUGUUGUCAUCAUGCAGUCUCUCAUGAUGCCAAGCAAGUCCAGCAGCCUGACAGAUCCGUCCAACUCCACUUCCACACUUUCUUUUUCUUGUAUGUUGGAAUAUUUGCUCAUAGGCAAGUGGAGAAGCUCCUCGAUGCACUCGUACAAACCUCCGAGCGCUCUCAAUCCCUCGCAUAUAGUUUGGGCUGAUAAACAGGAUUGAGCCACCAUAGACUUGAGCUUCUGCAUCUCUUCCUCUACUCCGAGCUUGAGAGGGUGAUCUCUAGAUGGCAUGCUGAUGGAUCUGACAUGGUAAGACUGAUCAGGUGUUGCAGGACAACCAGCCAUAUCCACCAGUAUGUUUUUGGAAGGCCUUUGGAAUGGAUUGCCAAAUGAAGAGUAGAGCAAAAACGAUGGGAAGAUGUGAACAAGCCUGGAACUUCCCCUACUUAUAGUCCCUAUUUCAUAAAGCAGAUGGGAGGCAAGUGGAAUCUAACCAGCCGAGCUCAAUAUGAUAUGCCAAUCUUGCAAUUUGGAUUUUGUAGCAUCAUCUCUGAUCAGGUCAUACUCACAUCUCAAUUUUUAAAUGCCACUGUGUUCCACAUGCUUGUGUCAAGCUUGUGAUGGUACACCUCACUAUCUUUAUUUUUAUACAUUGGUGUCAUCUGGAUCUUGAACACUUUCUUUAAGCUGGUUGAUUUCAAUA